GUUUGAGUCGUCAGCCGUGGGGGCA
rnacentral:piRNA from 1 species